rnacentral:rRNA from 1 species
CAGUAAACGGCGGCCGUAACUAUAACGGUCCUAAGGUAGCGAAAUUCCUUGUCGGGUAAGUUCCGACCCGCACGAAAGGCGUAACGAUUUGGGCACUGUCUCAACGAGAGACUCGGUGAAAUCAUAGUACCUGUGAAGAUGCAGGUUACCCGCGACAGGACGGAAAGACCCCGUGGAGCUUUACUGUAGCCUGAUAUUGAAAUUCGGCACAGCUUGUACAGGAUAGGUAGGAGCCUUUGAAACGUGAGCGCUAGCUUACGUGGAGGCGCUGGUGGGAUACUACCCUAGCUGUGUUGGCUUUCUAACCCGCACCACUUAUCGUGGUGGGAGACAGUGUCAGGCGGGCAGUUUGACUGGGGCGGUCGCCUCCUAAAAGGUAACGGAGGCGCUCAAAGGUUCCCUCAGAAUGGUUGGAAAUCAUUCAUAGAGUGUAAAGGCAUAAGGGAGCUUGACUGCGAGACCUACAAGUCGAGCAGGGUCGAAAGACGGACUUAGUGAUCCGGUGGUUCCGCAUGGAAGGGCCAUCGCUCAACGGAUAAAAGCUACCCCGGGGAUAACAGGCUUAUCUCCCCCAAGAGUUCACAUCGACGGGGAGGUUUGGCACCUCGAUGUCGGCUCAUCGCAUCCUGGGGCUGUAGUCGGUCCCAAGGGUUGGGCUGUUCGCCCAUUAAAGCGGUACGCGAGCUGGGUUCAGAACGUCGUGAGACAGUUCGGUCCCUAUCCGUCGUGGGCGUAGGAAAUUUGAGAGGAGCUGUCCUUAGUACGAGAGGACCGGGAUGGACAUACCUCUGGUGUACCAGUUGUCGUGCCAACGGCAUAGCUGGGUAGCUAUGUGUGGACGGGAUAAGUGCUGAAAGCAUCUAAGCAUGAAGCCCCCCUCAAGAUGAGAUUUCCCAACUUCGGUUAUAAGAUCCCUCAAAGAUGAUGAGGUUAAUAGGUUCGAGGUGGAAGCAUGGUGACAUGUGGAGCUGACGAAUACUAA